GUUCAGUUGUUAUAUAUCUCGCGGCGCGUGUGGACGUGUGUAUGUGAUGACAACGCGGUGACCGCGCUUUCUCGCACGUGGUAAGGCGGGAAAAGUUCCCGCCUCCGUUAGGCAAAAUAUUUUCCGACGCUAAUAAGCUGGCGAGCGGCGGCGCGGCAGGACGUGGUCUGUUCUGCUACCACUGUCCACCAAGUCUGCCGCCACACCAGCACCGCCUUCCUACCCUGGAGUAUCCCUUCUCUGCCUCACACCCAUAUACAAGCUACUCCUAUCACCCGGCGAUACACGAUGACACAUUCGUUCGUCGAAAACAACGUCGCAAUCGUACAACGUUCACUUUACAACAGUUGGAGGAAUUGGAAACGGCCUUCGCGCAGACACAUUACCCAGACGUCUUCACCAGAGAAGACCUGGCUCUGAAGAUCAACCUCACUGAAGCUAGAGUACAGGUGUGGUUUCAAAAUCGGCGAGCAAAAUGGCGGAAAGCGGAGCGGUUAAAAGAAGAGCAGCGGAAACGGGAAGGAGCCGAGGUGAUGGCUAAAAGAGACCCCAGUGACGACAAGGGUUCAUCCGAGUGUAUGUCGCGAGGUUCUGGUGAGGUGUCUCCAAUGUCAGCGGGGGUGUCUCCACGUGCCUCACCCCCCGCAACACCCGGCUCCCCGCGACGCUCUCCGCUACGAUCGCCGCGCCGCUCACCUAAUAGAUCACCACGCUUAGACAGAUCGGAGGGUUGCUCGUCACCAGCACCAUCAGUGGGAAGUGCAGGGUCUAGAGAAGCUCCAUUGGAUCCUCGGCCUCCUCAUCACCUGUUCUCACCGUUUGAUCAUUCUGGCGCGUUCCGCACGUCCGGAGGCAGUUCAGACGCGCCCCCGCCGCCUCCACUCUUCCUUCCCCCACAUCUCUCACACCUGUCGCAGCAUCUGAACCAUCUGUCGCAGCCGUUCUUCCCAUUGAAAGGAUGGGGAGCUUCCUGCCCUUGCUGUCCAAAAGAGGAGGCUAGAUCGUCGAGCGUCGCCGAACUUCGGCGUAAAGCACACGAGCAUUCGGCGGCGUUACUUCAGUCACUGGCAAAUUUCCAGUCGCGGGCAUUGCUGCCGUUGCCACUUCAUCUGCCACCGCUACCGCUGCAAUUAAUGUCACAGGAACACCAGCCACCGCCACACUCUGAUACCACAAAGCAAUCUGAGUGAUCGACACAUGAGGAUUCCAUGCCCCAUAAUAAUAAAAUAUUUCAGCAGCACGUUAUAUUUAUAUAUUUUUUUAUUUCAACAUUUUUAUUAACAACAACAUAAAGCUCUUAUUUUUAAUACUUACCUUAUUGCUUAAUAUAAUCAAAAGUGUCAGAGUGUAUUAAUCGUUUUUGGUAGUUUACUAAGGUACUACACGGUAGCAUAGCCACUUUGGACAUAUUAUCUUUGAAUAAUUAUGCUAGAAGCUCAUUUUGUAAUUAAAUAAAUAAAUUAAUUGUAAUAAGAGUUAUUUUCUCGUUUUUUCCACAAUUAGUGUCAGAUUUUGUAGUAGGGGAGACCAUGAAAGUAAUUGAAUAGUUAUUCAAGUGUAAUGAUUACCGAUUAAAUUGAAAACUUACUUUUAAGAAUUUGGAUGAUUAAAGAUAGGUAUUUUUAUAUAAGAGGGGACAAAAGGCCCACGGGACGGGAACUGGGAACUGGCGAAGCAACCGCCAAUGGACAUCCGCAACACCAGAGGUUAGGGGCAUUCGUUCUUAGGUUAGGAGUCUAUAUAGUCUAAUGGGUAGUCUAUGGUCUAAGCUUGAAAGUCCCUGAGGCAUAUCGGUUCGAGAAUGCUGCAGUCGGUAAUUGAUACCACAAAGUGGUUAUAUGAAGCAGGAAGUAAAUAUGAUUUAAAGUUGGAUUUCUAUCAGCAUUGACUUUUGACAAGGGUCAAAAAAAUUCUCUUACUUACUUGUGUUUAUAUAUUUUAUUAAUAAUAUAUCUCGCCGUCUUGAAAUAUCGAUCGAGUCAGAUUUUCAUACGUUUCAGCUUGAUCAUUGAUUGUGAUAAUACUUAAAAUCCGAUGCGUUCGAGUAAAUCCUAAACUUCGUCUCAGGCUCCCCUAUUAUUGUUCUGGCAUUAUGUUAUAAAUGUAAUAGUGGUAAAAUUGGCCAAGUUAUAUAUUAGGAUUGCUUGUUUAUUAACUAUUUUAUUAUUAUAUUAACAUAGCAAUUGUGAAUUAUCAUGUGCCAUACAUUUAAAUGCCAAUGAGUUGAGCCAUAUAAUGAAACUUUUACUAACUGUUUUGUUUAGUUGUUUUAUGGUACGAUAUGAUCGUUUUUUUUUAAAUAAAUUUUAAAUUUCUCACAAAUCUUUAACUCUUAAAAUCUCAGUGCAUAGAUAGAAAAAAAAAAUUGUUUGCGAAUACUAAAAUCCUUUGCACGAACGUAAUAUAAUGUAUUUUAAAAUCAAUUGGUAAUUUUUUAUUUUAUUUUUGCUUCUCUCUAUAUAAAUAGUUACUACUAUUGUAUAAAUAUGUAAACGAGGUAAAUUAACUGCUGUCAUUAUUUAGUUAAAUUUUUAGGAAACCAUUCAACAAAUAAGGGUUUGUUUUGCUUCUUAUAUUACGUUAAAUCUUUAAAAAUAUAUAUGAAAACCCUUUUUUAUUCUCUUCUAGUGAUAAGGAGAGUAUACUCUAUGUAUUAGAUUUUUUUAUCAUAUAAAUUGUAAUGUAAUAUAGUAUUCAGACAUAUGUUACCGAAGUCAGUAUUGUCGAGAAAAUAUUUUGUAAAUAGCACUAUUUCUAAUUAAUACUACAAUUAGUGUAAAUAUAACUACAAUUUUAAUCUUGUCUGUUCUAAGU